GUGAUAAAACUGUUUAUCACUAAAUGAGAGAGACAAUAGGGAAUAUGCACGUGGUUUAAAUUCACUUGAUUAUUUUUUCAUGGAGACUUUUUAGUUCGAAAAUGUUCAUAAAAUCAUUAUUUUCCAAUUUAAUUUAUUUUUACUAGUAUAGAAUGAUCCUUAAACAGUGCAAAAUAGCAUAGCUUUUCGAUGUAAUGACUUGCAAUAACAGAAUACGACAAGGUAUUUAUUUAGAGGACUAGAGCUCUACCAAAUUAAAACCAUUAUUCUAAUAAAAUGAUGGAUGUCUCAAAUUGGAAGCGGAGUUUUAAUUGAAUAGAGGACAGAAUUGAUUCCACUAAAUGCUUUUUUCGAUCAAUAAAUCCUCGAAUAUACAUGAUUACAUGUUAUGGUAAAUAAUGGACGAAGAAAUCGCUUUCAUAGCUUUGCUGGUUUUAACAAAUCUUUUACCAAUGACAACCUGCUGCUGUUUUUCUACGACUAAUGACAAAUUCGAAUAAUGCAUUAGUUUUGGGAUACAUUUGAAAUGUCGUUGAUUACUGGAAUGAAUAAGAGCUCCAACUCUAUCCAAUAUUAAUCAUAUUUUCUUUGCAUUAUACUGAUUAAACAAAAAUGACUUGUAUACAAUGUAGGCCACAUAAAACGGUCCACCCCAAUAUUUAUUAUUAAUUAGAUUAUAAAGUUAUACUCAAACACGCCAUUCGGGUGGUUACGUUUUUCUUCAAACAUUUUGAGUUCUCCUUUGUUCACGUAUUGUCACUUCUGAUUUGUUUAUUCUAAAAUUUAAGUUUUUGAAGAAAUUAAUUUUUUACGAACC